rnacentral:rRNA from 1 species
AGCCUACGGGGGGCAGCAGUGGGGAAUAUUGCACAAUGGGGGAAACCCUGAUGCAGCGACGCCGCGUGAGUGAAGAAGUAUCUCGGUAUGUAAAGCUCUAUCAGCAGGAAAGAUAAUGACGGUACCUGACUAAGAAGCCCCGGCUAACUACGUGCCAGCAGCCGCGGUAAUACGUAGGGGGCAAGCGUUAUCCGGAUUUACUGGGAGUAAAGGGUGCGUAGGCGGGCUUUUAAGUCAGCGGUAAAAAUUCGGGGCUCAACCCCGUCCGGCCGUU